GAUGAACGCUGGCGGCGUGCCUAAUACAUGCAAGUCGAGCGAACGGACGAGAAGCUUGCUUCUCUGAUGUUAGCGGCGGACGGGUGAGUAACACGUGGAUAACCUACCUAUAAGACUGGGAUAACUUCGGGAAACCGUAGCUAAUACCGGAUAAUAUUUUGAACCGCAUGGUUCAAAAGUGAAAGACGGUCUUGCUGUCACUUAUAGAUGGAUCCGCGCUGCAUUAGCUAGUUGGUAAGGUAACGGCUUACCAAGGCAACGAUGCAUAGCCGACCUGAGAGGGGGGUUCGCCACCCCUGAACUGAGGCCCCGUCCAGACUCCUACGGGAGGCAGCCGUUGGGAAUUUUCCGCCAUGGGGCAAAGCCUUACGGAGGCACCGCGCGGUAGGUGUGAAGGGCUUCCGAUCCUAAAACCUCUUUAUUAGGGAAGAACAAAUUGGGAAGUUACCUUGCACCUCUUUACCGUACCUAAUCAGAAAGCCACGGCUAACUACGUG
rnacentral:rRNA from 1 species